CCGCGUGUGUGAAGAAGGCCUUCGGGUUGUAAAGCACUUUCAGUAGGGAGGAAGGUAGUGUAGUUAACACCUGCACUAUUUGACGUUACCUACAGAAGAAGCACCGGCUAACUCCGUGCCAGCAGCCGCGGUAAUACGGAGGGUGCGAGCGUUAAUCGGAAUUACUGGGCGUAAAGCGCAUGCAGGCGGCCUGUUAAGUCAGAUGUGAAAGCCCGGGGCUUAACCUCGGAAUUGCAUUUGAAACUGGCAGGCUAGAGUCUUGUAGAGGGGGGUAGGAAUUUCAGGUGUAGCGGUGAAAUGCGUAGAGAUCUGAAGGAAUACCAGUGGCGAAGGCGGCCCCCUGGACAAAGACUGACGCUCAGAUGCGAAAGCGUGGGGAGCAAACAGGAUUAGAUACCCUGGUAG
rnacentral:rRNA from 1 species